rnacentral:tRNA from 1 species
GCAAAUCGAGCAGGCACGUUUCCUCUGCACUCCGAAGGCAGAGGCCACAAGUUCGAAUCUUGUCGGGUGCGCCA